rnacentral:rRNA from 1 species
UACAGAGGUCUCAAGCGUUGUUCGGAUUCAUUGGGCGUAAAGGGCGCGUAGGCGGCGACUCAAGUUAGAUGUGAAAGUCCUGGGCUUAACCUGGGGACUGCAUUUGAUACUGGGUUGCUUGAAUUCGGGAGAGGAUAGCGGAAUUCCCAGUGUAGAGGUGAAAUUCGUAGAUAUUGGGAAGAACACCGGUGGCGAAGGCGGCUAUCUGGACCGACAUUGACGCUGAGGCGCGAAAGCGUGGGGAGCAAAUAGG